CCUUACACUUCUGAUUAUCUAACUAUGUAUGUUUCAUUAUCUGAAACUUUGUAUGGUGGAUAAUUUGACUGGGACAGUCGCCUUCUAAAAUGUAACGGAGAUUUGCGAAGGUAAACUAGAGUUGGCUGGAAAUCAGUUUAAUAGUAGUACGAUAACACCAAUUUGCCUGAUUAUGAGGUUGAAAAGUCAAGCAGAGACGAAAGUCAAAUCAUUAGUGAUCCGAUGAUUCUCCAUGGAAAGGUAAAAAAAUUCAAUCAAGCUGAAAAAUAAGGAGCUCGUAUAUAUCGUUGCUAUGAG
rfam:Onchocerca ochengi, WGS project CAWC01000000 data, contig: 02765_4204